CACAGGAUGGGAUUUGGGAACACCAUCCACUGAUCAUCCCCUGCUGAAGCAACACUUUUCUGAAG
rnacentral:snoRNA from 1 species